GGGGGACCUACCCACGCCCGUGUAUGGGUACAUCAUAGACAACGAUUAUCACAGAGAGCACAGUUACUGGAUUGGAGGAACUGACGCUAAUCAUGAAGGAACCUGGGUUUGGAUUAGCAGUGGAGAUGAGAUGGAGAUGGGUGUACCUCACUGGUACACAGGAGAACCUGAUGGUAGUUACUGGGAAAACUACUGCUGCUUACACAAACCUGACUAUUACUUCCACAGCUGUGACAACGAUAAUAAUUACCAUGCUAUAUGUCAGAUUUAAUUCUGCCUGACUUGUGACAAAUUACCAAGAUGCACUGUAGAUGAGUUUAUCAGAUAUAUUAAUAUUGAUAUAAUGCUAAAGAAAUGUUUAUGAAAUAUAUGAAAAAAGGAUU